AUUGAACGCUGGCGGCAGGCCUAACACAUGCAAGUCGAGCGGAUGAGAAGAGCUUGCUCUUCGAUUCAGCGGCGGACGGGUGAGUAAUGCCUAGGAAUCUGCCUGGUAGUGGGGGACAACGUUUCGAAAGGAACGCUAAUACCGCAUACGUCCUACGGGAGAAAGCAGGGGACCUUCGGGCCUUGCGCUAUCAGAUGAGCCUAGGUCGGAUUAGCUAGUUGGUGAGGUAAUGGCUCACCAAGGCGACGAUCCGUAACUGGUCUGAGAGGAUGAUCAGUCACACUGGAACUGAGACACGGUCCAGACUCCUACGGGAGGCAGCAGUGGGGAAUAUUGGACAAUGGGCGAAAGCCUGAUCCAGCCAUGCCGCGUGUGUGAAGAAGGUCUUCGGAUUGUAAAGCACUUUAAGUUGGGAGGAAGGGCAUUAACCUAAUACGUUAGUGUUUUGACGUUACCGACAGAAUAAGCACCGGCUAACUCUGUGCCAGCCGCCGCCGUAACAC
rnacentral:rRNA from 1 species